AACGAACGCUGGCGGCAGGCUUAACACAUGCAAGUCGAACGCCCCGCAAGGGGAGUGGCCGACGGGUGAGUAACGCGUGGGAACAUACCCUUUUCUACGGAAUAGCUCUGGGAAACUGGAAUUAAUACCGUAUACGCCCUACGGGGGAAAGAUUUAUCGGGGAAGGAUUGGCCCGCGUUGGAUUAGCUAGUUGGUGGGGUAAAGGCCUACCAAGGCGACGAUCUAUAGCUGGUCUGAGAGGAUGAUCAGCCACAUUGGGACUGAGACACGGCCCAAACUCCUACGGGAGGCAGCAGUGGGGAAUAUUGGACAAUGGGCGCAAGCCUGAUCCAGCCAUGCCGCGUGAGUGAUGAAGGCCUUAGGGUUGUAAAGCUCUUUCACCGAUGAAGAUAAUGACGGUAGUCGGAGAAGAAGCCCCGGCUAACUUCGUG
rnacentral:rRNA from 1 species